GGUUCCGUAGCUCAGCUGGAUAGAGCAACUGCCUUCUAAGCAGUAGGUCCUGCGUUCGAACCGCAGCGGAAUCA
rnacentral:tRNA from 1 species